CUUGUUUCUUAGACAGACGCCGUUAACGUUGCCUUUGGUAAACUUGCUACCAAACAGACACCAACCGUCCAUAUACGGCGGACCGUGCCGUUGACGAAAAUACGAAAUCGCGUUUAAUUGAAGACCAGUCGUGCACCCACACAGUGUCUCACAACGUCUCAUGAUGGGUGAAUCUCGAGCAGAUAUUCCUCAUCCGAAGCGUCAAGAUUUACAACAGGAAUGUAGGACGUGUUAGACUUAAAGACGUCGAGCUUUACGUCGGGUUAUCGGAGGCCGGCUUUCAAUCUCGUGAAGGGUUUCACCCUGGAGAGAUCGGCGUUUCAUACACGUUUGAGCUAGCUACACCGGUGUACGGACAGUGGGUACGGAUUACGCGUAGCACUCCUAACGAUGUACUCACUCUGUGCGAGGUUGAGGUGGAAGGUGCUCCGUACUCUGCAGCCAAUGGCACACGUUAUUCGGUUUUCCAAAGAUAUGUUCACAUUGGCACUGCAAUCGACGUUUCCGCGAAGGUCCUGUCAAAUCUCCUCUGCGCAUCAAGCUGUUCCAAAACAGAGAACUGCAUCAGCACCCACAACAACAAAGCGACCUUUACCUGCAGCCUGUUCGAUUCCUUGACAUUCCAUCCAAGAGACGUCGAAAAUGACACCAUUGUUGUCAACAGUAUUGCCAUAACAGAGAAUUCAAGGGAAAAGUUGUUCGGGACAUAAACCGUCAAUUUUUCUGUCGUGUGUUUCAAAGCCACGUUUAGCAAAUUGCAAACAUCACUAUAUUCAACAAAACAAAUGCGAUAACCGUAUCUAUCACCAAUAUACAUACAAAUCAG